UCGAGAAUCUUCCGCAAUGGGCGAAAGCCUGACGGAGCGACACCGCGUGCAGGAUGAAGGCCUUCGGGUUGUAAACUGCUGUCAGGUUCUAGGAACCGCUUGGCGUGAACAACGCCAAGCAUGACCAAGACCAAAGGAAGCAACGGCUAACUCUGUGCCAGCAGCCGCGGUAAGACAGAGGUUGCAAACGUUGUUCGGAAUUACUGGGCAUAAAGCGCACGUAGGCGGUCCGUUAAGUCAUGUGUGAAAUCCCCCGGCUCAACCGGGGAAUUGCGCCUGAUACUGGCGGGCUAGAGGUCGAUAGGGGUGAGCGGAACUCCAGGUGGAGCGGUGAAAUGCGUAGAUAUCUGGAGGAACACCGGUGGCGAAAGCGGCUCACUGGAUCGAAACUGACGCUGAGGUGCGAAAGCUAGGGUAGCAAACGGGAUUAGAUACCCGCGUAGUCC
rnacentral:rRNA from 1 species